rnacentral:rRNA from 1 species
GACGAACGCUGGCGGCGUGCUUAACACAUGCAAGUCGAACGGAAAGGCCCUGCUUUUGUGGGGUGCUCGAGUGGCGAACGGGUGAGUAACACGUGAGUAACCUGCCCUUGACUUUGGGAUAACUUCAGGAAACUGGGGCUAAUAUCGGAUAGGAGCUCCUGCUGCAUGGUGGGGGUUGGAAAGUUUCGGCGGUUGGGGAUGGACUCGCGGCUUAUCGGCUUGUUGGUGGGGUAGUGGCUUACCAAGGCUUUGACGGGUAGCCGGCCUGAGAGGGUGACCGGCCACAUUGGGACUGAGAUACGGCCCAGACUCCUACGGGAGGCAGCAGUGGGGAAUAUUGCACACUGGGCGGAAGCCUGAUGCAGCAACGCCGCGUGCGGGAUGACGGCCUUCGGGUUGUAAACCGCUUUCGCCUGUGACGAAGCGUGAGUGACGGUAAUGGGUAAAGAAGCACCGGCUAACUACGUG